ACUCUAUGAGUACAACAGUACUUUUGACUUCCAAUCAGACAGUCUUAGCGAAAAUCUAAGAUAGAGUA
rnacentral:tRNA from 1 species